CACCGCGGUUAUACGAGAGGCCCAAAUUGAUAAAUAGCGGCGUAAAGGGUGGUUAAAAGUUGUUAAAAUAGAGCCGAACUCAUCCCCGACUGUUAUACGUUACGGCAAGAAGAAGCCCAUAAACGAAAGUAGCUCUAAGCAAUUGAACCCACGAAAGCUAGGGAA
rnacentral:rRNA from 1 species